GGAAGUGAAGGCAAUUUGGCUGGGAUAUCUAUCACUCCAUUGAUCAGCAGGGUCUAUUGACUAAUCUGGCUGGCUAGGCAUUUUCUCCUUUACUGCUCCAUGUGUGUUCCUCCCAAAGCUGGGCACUCCGUGGAAGAGGACAGUCUUCCCGGAUAGAGGAGUUCUUAAGUCAAGGAUAUGAGUGGCUGUGCUCUCCUGUUCGAGCCACCAAACAAGCUCUCAAGGUCCAUUCAUAGGAGAAGGUGGGAUGGUCAAGCUUUCAAGACUCUAGACACAUCCAAUUGAGAAGCUGCAUGUGGCAAUCUGCCUUUCUUU
rnacentral:snRNA from 1 species